UAGAACCGGAUCCGCCCAAGUUCU
rnacentral:siRNA from 1 species